rnacentral:rRNA from 1 species
ACUCCUACGGGAGGCAGCAGUGAGGAAUAUUGGACAAUGGGCGCAAGCCUGAUCCAGCCAUGCCGCGUGCAGGAUGACGGUCCUAUGGAUUGUAAACUGCUUUUGCACAGGAAGAAACAACGCUACGUGUAGCGUCUUGACGGUACUGUGAGAAUAAGGAUCGGCUAACUCCGUGCCAGCAGCCGCGGUAAUAC